rnacentral:rRNA from 1 species
CCCUUCGGCAGGGAAGAAGCGCAAGUGACGGUACCUGCAGAAGAAGCUCCGGCUAACUACGUGCCAGCAGCCGCGGUAAGACGUAGGGAGCGAGCGUUAUCCGGAUUCAUUGGGCGUAAAGCGCGCGUAGGCGGUUUGGUAAGUCGGAUGUGAAAUCCCGAGGCUCAACCUCGGGACUGCAUCCGAUACUGCCCGACUAGAGGUAGGUAGGGGAGAUCGGAAUUCCUGGUGUAGCGGUGAAAUGCGCAGAUAUCAGGAGGAACACCGGUGGCGAAGGCGGAUCUCUGGGCCUUACCUGACGCUGAGGCGCGAAAGCUAGGGGAGCGAGCAGGAUUAGAUACCCUGGUAGUCCUAGCCGUAAACGUUGGGUGCUAGGUGUGGGCGGAUAUCGACCCCGUCCGUGCCGAAGCUAACGCAUUAAGCACCCCGCCUGGGGAGUACGGCCGCAAGGCUA